GGUCUGUGUUUUGAGCCUUCCUACAAUACAGAAUCUGAGGAGGGUGGCUCUGUUAUUCUGAUGGAAUGAAUGCUCAGUGAGAUCAAAAUCAAGUCAUUGAGGAUGCCAGGAGAGUCUGGGGCAUCCUCAGGUACCCUGCAGGGUUUGUGGGGAGGCUGCUGGACUUACAGAUUGUUGUGGAUUUCAUCCUGGAUGGUUUACUGAGCUCUUUGGGGUUCCUGAGGUGAAAAUUACAGCAAUUUUAAGAGUCUGACACACUUUCCAGCUGAUAGCACUAAAAACAUGACUUGUAGCCUCCUCUCUUUUUCCUGUUUGCUUCUCUGAAUGAAGAUGGCAGAACUAAUCUGUAUGAACUAUUAUCUGUUAUGUGAAUUUUUAUGAAUUAAACUAAUUUAUCUUUAAAAAUCCAUUUUUUUCUCUAUGAGCAACUUAUGCAAUGGAAUGGACCUACUAUAUUUGUCAAAGUUAUUAGAGUCCCGGGUUUUUAAUUACUAGUUUGAACCCCACAGCUCUUCUGGUAAAAUGUGGACUGCAUACUGAAGGGAAAACAAAAUAACAGAUUAUGCAAUAUACAAAUAGAAUUACCAGUGACUUAUUCUCCUUUAAGUCAACAUUUAAUGCAAUGGUUUUUGCUCUGGAUCUCAUAUCCCUUUUAUUUUGUAUUUUUUUUGGGUAAGGUGGUUCCGA
rnacentral:lncRNA from 1 species